rnacentral:ncRNA from 1 species
GGCUGUCCUGACUUUACUGUCAGCUCUAGCUAAAUUUACACAUGCAAGUAUCCGCGCCCCCGUGAGGAUGCCCUACAACUUCCCCUCCCGAAACAAGGAGCCGGUAUCAGGCACAGAUAAUGCUAGCCCAUAACACCUUGCUCAGCCACACCCCCAAGGGAAUUCAGCAGUGAUAAACAUUAAGCUAUAAGUGAAAACUUGACUUAGUUAAAGCUAAGAGGGCCGGUAAAACUCGUGCCAGCCACCGCGGUUAUACGAGAGGCUCAAGUUGACAGACACGGCGUAAAGAGUGGUUAGGCAACCCCCCCCAACUAAAGUCGAACGGCCUCAAGGCAGUUAUAAGCGGUACGAAGGCACGAAGCUCAUCCACGAAAGUGACUUUACUCUACCUGACUCCACGAAAGCUGAGAAACAAACUGGGAUUAGAUACCCCACUAUGCUCAGUCCUAAACUUUGAUAGUCCACUACAACCCCUAUCCGCCCGGGUAUUACGAGCUCUAGCUUAAAACCCAAAGGACUUGGCGGUGCUUUAGACCCAUCUAGAGGAGCCUGUCCUAUAACCGAUAAUCCACGUUUAACCUUACCCUCUCUUGCUCUUCCAGCCUAUAUACCGCCGUCGUCAGUCGACCCCGUGAGGGACGCAUAGUUUGCACAAUCGGCACAGCCCAAUACGCCAGGUCGAGGUGUAGCUAAUGAGAGGGGAAGAGAUGGGCUACAUUUCCUUGUGUUCAGGAAAUACGGAUGCUAUACUGAAAUACUAUUUUUGAAGGUGGAUUUAGUAGUAAGUAGAAAUUAGAAUGUUCUACUGAAUCUGGCUCUGAAGCGCGCACAUACCGCCCGUCACUCUCCCCUAAUGACCAUCUAACAGUAUUUAAAA